rnacentral:rRNA from 1 species
UACGUAGGGGGCGAGCGUUAUCCGGAAUUACUGGGCGUAAAGCGCACGCAGGCGGUUCGCCAAUUUUGGAGUGACAGUUGUCGGCUCAACCGACAAAGGACUUCAAAAACUGGUGAACUUGAGGACGAGAGAGGAACAUGGAACUCCAGGUGUAGUAGUGAAAUGCGUAGAUAUCUGGAAGAACACCAAUGGCGAAGGCAAUGUUCUGGCUCGUUUCUGACGCUCAGGUGCGAAAGCCAGGGGAGCGAACGGG